GAUUUCAUAGGUCCAGUGUUGGACCUCAUAAUUCGCAUGUGGGACUCUUUGCCUGCAUCCUCGAGUUUGAAGAGAACCUUUCUUGUUUGAGAGACAUAACAUCUGACCUGCAAGGCGUUUGGGUUGAUGUGAGUGUGGGGUUGAAGUGGCUGAGGCACAUCACCCUGGGCGUCUGAAUGAAGUGAAUGAUUGGUUGGAUAAAGUUGAAGCCAUGCAAACUGCAAAGGGAAGUCCAAGCUAUUCAGCAAAAAGUUUCUCAAGUUCAAGAAACACAUAGAUGUUUGGGAAGUUUCUGUCCCGGGAAUUUUCCAACUAGCUGCUGGAUGGGAAGGGUUAUAGCUAUAAAAAAUUGGUGAGAUUCAUGAACUAAUUGAUAAAGGGCAUUUUGAUGUAGUGGCUCAGGAAGUGCCACAUGCUUUGGUAGAUGAAAUACCUCUAGAGGCCACAGUAGGUCUAGAAUCAACCUUUGAUGAACUUAGUGGAUGUUUUGAUGACAAUCAUGUUGGAGUUAUUGGCUUGUAUGGGAUAGGGGGUGUAGGAAAGACAACCCAGCUCAAAAAGUUCAAUAAUGAGUUCCUUCCCACAAAAUUCUAUGAUGUUAGCAUUUGGGCUGUGGUGUCUAGAAAAGCACGUAAUCAAGGAUGUCUACGAAGGUCUUUUAGCUGAAUUUGGUGAUGAUGUCUACGAAGCACGUAAUCAAGGAGAAGAAAUCAUAGCAAGCUUGAAGCUUACUUGUUUGUUGGAGGACAGAGAGAGAGAAAACAGGAUUAAGAUGCAUGAUAUGAUCAGAGACAUGGCUUUGUGGCUAGCAUGUGAUCAUGGAUCCAACACCAGGUUUUUGGUGAAAGAUGAUGCAUGCAGCAGUUCAGUUGAAGCAUAUAAUCCUGCAUAGUGGAAAGAAGUAUAGAUAGUAUCACUCUGGGGACCUAGCAUUCAAAUCCUCUCAGGAAAAUCAGAUUGCUCAAAUCUCUCGACUAUGAUUGUCAGAAAUUCUGAGCUAACAGACCUUUCUGAUGAGAUCUUUCUGACUGCAAACACUCUUGGAGUGUUAGACUUGUCAGGGAAUAAAAGAGUAAAAGAAUUACAUGCGAUUAUUGGGGAGUUAGUUAGCUUGCAGCAUUUGGAUCUAUCAGGUACUGGUAUACAAGAAUUGCCAAGGGAGCUCCAGAACUUGAAAAAGUUGAGGUGCCUGCUACUAAAUUGAAUUGCCAAGGCAUGCUCAACUUGAAUUGGCUAACGCAUGCUCCAAGCCUUCAGCUCCUUAGAAUAUAAUUGUCCCUCAUUGGAAGAAGUCAUAGGUGAAGAAUUUGGACAUGCAGAAAAUGUUUUUUCCAAAACCCUAAGGCA
rnacentral:lncRNA from 1 species